rnacentral:rRNA from 1 species
GCCUUCGGGAACUCUGAGACAGGUGCUGCAUGGCUGUCGUCAGCUCGUGUUGUGAAAUGUUGGGUUAAGUCCCGCAACGAGCGCAACCCUUAUCCUUUGUUGCCAGCGGUUAGGCCGGGAACUCAAAGGAGACUGCCAGUGAUAAACUGGAGGAAGGUGGGGAUGACGUCAAGUCAUCAUGGCCCUUACGAGUAGGGCUACACACGUGCUACAAUGGCGCAUACAAAGAGAAGCGACCUCGCGAGAGCAAGCGGACCUCAUAAAGUGCGUCGUAGUCCGGAUUGGAGUCUGCAACUCGACUCCAUGAAGUCGGAAUCGCUAGUAAUCGUAGAUCAGAAUGCUACGGUG